rnacentral:tRNA from 4 species
UCCUCUGCAGUUCAGUCGGUAGAACGGCGGACUGUUAAUCCGUAUGUCACUGGUUCGAGUCCAGUCAGAGGAGCCA